rnacentral:rRNA from 1 species
UUUUAUGGAGAGUUUGAUCCUGGCUCAGGAUGAACGCUGGCGGCGUGCCUAAUACAUGCAAGUCGAGCGAACGGACGAGAAGCUUGCUUCUCUGAUGUUAGCGGCGGACGGGUGAGUAACACGUGGAUAACCUACCUAUAAGACUGGGAUAACUUCGGGAAACCGGAGCUAAUACCGGAUAAUAUUUUGAACCGCAUGGUUCAAAAGUGAAAGACGGUCUUGCUGUCACUUAUAGAUGGAUCCGCGCUGCAUUAGCUAGUUGGUAAGGUAACGGCUUACCAAGGCAACGAUGCAUAGCCGACCUGAGAGGGUGAUCGGCCACACUGGAACUGAGACACGGUCCAGACUCCUACGGGAGGCAGCAGUAGGGAAUCUUCCGCAAUGGGCGAAAGCCUGACGGAGCAACGCCGCGUGAGUGAUGAAGGUCUUCGGAUCGUAAAACUCUGUUAUUAGGGAAGAACAUAUGUGUAAGUAACUGUGCACAUCUUGACGGUACCUAAUCAGAAAGCCAUGGCUAACUACGUGCCAGCAGCCGCGGUAAUACGUAGGUGGCAAGCGUUAUCCGGAAUUAUUGGGCGUAAAGCGCGCGUAGGCGGUUUUUUAAGUCUGAUGUGAAAGCCCACGGCUCAACCGUGGAGGGUCAUUGGAAACUGGAAAACUUGAGUGCAGAAGAGGAAAGUGGAAUUCCAUGUGUAGCGGUGAAAUGCGCAGAGAUAUGGAGGAACACCAGUGGCGAAGGCGACUUUCUGGUCUGUAACUGACGCUGAUGUGCGAAAGCGUGGGGAUCAAACAGGAUUAGAUACCCUGGUAGUCCACGCCGUAAACGAUGAGUGCUAAGUGUUAGGGGGUUUCCGCCCCUUAGUGCUGCAGCUAACGCAUUAAGCACUCCGCCUGGGGAGUACGACCGCAAGGUUGAAACUCAAAGGAAUUGACGGGGACCCGCACAAGCGGUGGAGCAUGUGGUUUAAUUCGAAGCAACGCGAAGAACCUUACCAAAUCUUGACAUCCUUUGACAAAUCUAGAGAUAGAGCCUUCCCCUUCGGGGGACAAAGUGACAGGUGGUGCAUGGUUGUCGUCAGCUCGUGUCGUGAGAUGUUGGGUUAAGUCCCGCAACGAGCGCAACCCUUAAGCUUAGUUGCCAUCAUUAAG